GUUGUCGUAUGUGGCGGCCUCUGCCUGCUCGCCAGCUCCGCCACAAAGCCGUUUAAGCAGAUUCUCUUUCCUUACUCAAUAUUCAGGAAACAUUCGUUCUUAUGAAUCAAAGACAACAAUCUUUUCUCUCUUUUUUUGGUAUUUCGAGAGGAGAAACCAUGCAAACAUAGCAGCAAGACGAACUUGAGAAUGAUGGGUGGGUGAAACGUGUGAGCUCAAAACAAAAUGGCACCAUCCAGAAUCUUAGACUGAAAACAUUCACAAAUCGCUAUAUUUUUUUCCCAGAACGAAGCAUCAACCUUAAAAUGCAAAAUAUCACGCAUAAGCAAGCAGGAGACUCCUUGUUGCUUGCUUGCUUGGUCUUUUCAGCUUCCUUUUCUUCUACUUGUUCCCCACACAGCCACUCCUUUUUUUCCCCGGUGAUUAAAACCGAGGUGUUCUCACGGUCGCGGCAUGAGGCCUCGACGGCGAUGGCCUCUACGGCCUUGGUGGUCGCAUCGUCGUGUCGACGUCCAGGGCAUCGACGACACCAAUCCAGGCAACGAGGAGCCCGCGUCAUAUCGUCGCCAUCUUGACGCAGCUCCGGGCUCAGCCCUGGAGCAUCGCCGCGCCCCACAUGCGGAGCUCCGCCCCAAACACGCGCGGUGGCCGCGCUUGCUUGCCCUGAAGCUGCGGAGGACGACGACGAUGGCGGCGGCGAACGGACAACGGCGCGGCUGACGCGGGUACAGGCGGUGGCGGACUGACGACGGCGGCGCCGGGCGGACGGACGACUGCGUGGCGCACAUGAGAGCGGGCGGCGGCGGACGGACGACGGCGUGACGCCCGCGAGCGCGGGAGGUGGCGAACUGACGUCGGCGGCGCCGGGAGAUGGACGAUGACGGUGUGAUUGACGUUGGGGGUACGGAAUGGCACCGAACGAAGAAAAUUCGCACUCCGAUAGCGUAUUCUGAAAGUAGCACAAAUUAAAUGGUAAAUCCUAAAAGCAUUGCGUAUUCGAUGGCAUAUUCUGAAAAUUCUCGCCCGCCUAUCCGCCAUCCCGAAACGCCGCCGCCUCCCCUCCUCAUCGCUCCGCCUCCUAUUGCUGCCGGCCGCCGCUGCAUCCUUCUCCUGAUCUCCUUCCCAUGCCAGGCACCACGGCAACCUUCUCCUCCCCAUCACCGCCUCCUAUCCAUCCCCUUCAGACGUCACCGCUGCACCAUCCAAGCCACGCCACCAGUCCCUCAUCGGACGAGCUCAAGGGCGCCAGAUCCGGGCAGAACGAGCGCCGACGCUGCCUCCUGCCCAUCCCUAUUCUGGGCUCCCCUCGGACGACAUGCACGGGCUGAGCGGCGACACUGUCGACGACACGACGACGACGACAUCCUCCUCAGCGAGAUGCUCCAGUCGACCACCCCCGACGGUCUCUGGUUAAUCCACAGCUGCUGCAGGUUUUCUCCCUUUAUUCCUGCUCAUCUUUAGGCCUCCUUCUCCCUGACCUCGCUGUGGAGGAACGAGCUAGACGGCGGCAGCCUUUCAUCCACCGUCAUCCUCAAUUUUGUUUAUUCUCUGGCAAAGAGGCAAUAAAGCUCACCGGAGAUACACACAAGUUAUCAAUUCCGGUACUCGUUUCUUUAGGUGCAGAACUGGGACUUUAACCACUGUACAAUUCAGUGAGAGAGCAAUGCUCAUGCCAAACAAGGCUGUGGUAAAUGAGAUAUCACAAGACGGUGGAUUCGGUGAUAAGUUAUAUUAUUAUCCUCACUGAAAAUAUUGUCUUACUUUCUAUUCAUUACAAAUAGUUAAAUCUCCUUAUUUCAUCAUUGAUGCUAAUCUGAAAGUAUUGAUCAUACAAUAUCUUUGUAAGGAAAACAUAUUUGACAGGCAAAAUUUGCUAUAGGACAUCCAAAAAAACGUGUAAUUAGCUAAGAGACACCGCAAGAACGCGUUUUUGCUAUAGGGCACCGUAAAAAACUGGUAAUUAGCUACUGGACACCCUCGGGAUUAUUUUAUUAUAUCCGGAAGAAUUGGAGAGAGAAACAGCUGUGUAAGUACAGAUCUACCCUUUGAUUUUUUUUUCUUUUUCUUUUUUCUUCCUUAUCCUUUUCUCCCUCUCUCGUUCUCUCUCUCUCUCUCUCUCUCUCUCUGCUCUCAACCGUCGCCUUCAACCUCGCCCGCGGCCGCCGCCGCUCCUCCUAUGCUCGCCCACUGUCGCUGCUCCGCCCACCGCGCUCGCUUGCUGUCGCUGCUCCUCCCAGGCUCGCCUGCCGUUGCCGCUCCUCCUUCGCUCGCCCACUGUCGCCGGUGCUACUGCUCCAUGGCUUCAUGUCCUUCAUGCCCAGCACGGUGAUGUAGACAUGAACGCGCUCAGCCACUCAUCAGUAGCCGACGGCGACCAUUGGCGCGAACGCGGUGCCGAACGAGCAGUCAGCGGCGGCCUGCGAUGUUAGCUAAAUAAUGCAAUCUUGUGCAUCUAGUUUCUGUAGUUGCAUUGCAUAUGGUUGGCUGUGUUAGAAUCUGUCAGCAGCCGUUUUACUUCCAGUUAGCAUGUAGCUGUUUUCUAGCUAGUUUUUCGGUUGGACUGAAUUGGAUCGUGGGAUGGCACGGUCAGUAGUGGAUCCAGAUCAAUCGGGUGUUUUUUCUGUUAUGCAUGUAACAAACUCUGUAAUUGAGGAGAAUAAUUAGGAAACCAGAAAAGCAGCAGGGUACUUCGCUGUGCCAAAACUCUGCUCGUUCUACUCUGUUCUUCAGUUAACUAUUCAUAUAUUCGACAAAAGGUUCAGAGAUUGUGAGAGUGAGAGUUUGAUCCUGUAAAAAUGAGACCGUGUGCUUCACAUCCACCAUCGUUUCUUCUCCUCUCUUGCUCUUUGCUUGGUGAUGAGAAUGUAAGAUGUGUUUAAGCCCGUGAUUAGUGAAGACUAACUAAAGAAAAUGUUUAGCGGCCCACGUUGGAUUAACUUGAGCCAAGGGUAAACUAGUCUUUAAUGAUUGUUUCUCUCUCCUAUUCCUCCAAAAAUAAUAAAAUAAUCCCACCAGUGUCCAGCGGCUAAUUACCAGUUUUUUACGAUGCCCUACAGCAAAUACACGUUCUUACGAUGUCCCCUAGCUAAUUACACGUUUUUCAGAUGUCCUGUUGCAAAUUUUACCUAUUUGAUAUGAACCUCAUAUUCUUUUUAUAAGGAGAAACAAAGUUGAUCUCUCAUUGUCAGUAACAAAAGCAACUUAGUUUGAUGGUAUGUAAAACUAGAUUAUCGGGUAAGUUGAAUGUAAAAUUUUGUGAUUA